rnacentral:rRNA from 1 species
AUGGCACCAGGACCGCCGCCAGCACUCCCGGACGAGCUUGUAGAAGAGAUCCUCAUCCGCAUCCCGCCCGACGACCCGGCCAGCCUCCUCCGUGCCUCCCUCGUCUGCAAGUCCUGGAGCGAGGUCGUCUCCCGCCGUGGGUUCCACCGCCUCCUCCAUGAUCUCCACCGAGCA